GAUGAAGAACGCAGCGAAAUGCGAUAAGUAAUGUGAAUUGCAGAAUUCAGUGAAUCAUCGAAUCUUUGAACGCACAUUGCGCCCGCCAGUAUUCUGGCGGGCAUGCCUGUCCGAGCGUCAUUUCAACCCUCGAACCCCUCCGGGGGGUCGGCGUUGGGGAUCGGCACUUACCUGCCGGCCCCGAAAUACAGUGGCGGUCUCGCCGCAGCCUCUCCUGCGCAGUAGUUUGCACACUCGCACCGGGAGCGCGGCGCGUCCACGGCCGUAAAACAACCCAAACUUCUGAAAUGUUGACCUCGGAUCAGGUAGGAAUACCCGCUGAACUUAAGCAUAUCAAUAGCGGAGGA
rnacentral:misc_RNA from 1 species